CAAUGUUACACAACUAUGAAGUGGCAGAGCUGGAUUUUGAACCUGAGCUUAUCUGAGUUCAGAGUCCAUGCACGCAACUAACCAAUGGACUAUUUGCAAGUCAGGUCAUGGAAAGGCAUGAUAGCAUAGUGUGGCUCAAGGCACAGAGCAUAUGGAAAGCAGGAAUGACAGCUGUGGCUGAAUUACGGAGCAUCUUAUUGACUUGUAAGACAAUGAAAGCAAUGAAACCCAUCAUACAGAAGUACUCCUACUUCCAUACCGUAGCCAGAGGGUUCACAAAAAUCCUGCAGAUGAAUAAAUUUUGAGUCUGCUGAGAGGAGGAGUGUCAGAGAGCUUCAGAAGAUGGCGGAGGAGUAGGACAGAGAGAACACUUUCUCCCCCACAAAUUCAUCAAAAGAGCAUUUAAACGUCGAGUAAAUUCCACAAAACAACUUCUGAAUGCCGGCAGAGGACAUCAGGCACCCAGAAAAGCAAUCCAACUCUUCGAAAGGAGGUAGGAAAAAUA
rnacentral:lncRNA from 1 species